GAUGAAGAACGUAGUGAAAUGCGAUAAGUAGUGUGAAUUGCAGAAUUCAGUGAAUCAUCGAAUCUUUGAACGCACAUUGCGCCCUUUGGUAUUCCAAAGGGCAUGUCUGUUCGAGCGUCAUUUGUACCCUCAAGCUUUGCUUGGUGUUGGGCGUCUUGUCUCUAGCUUUGCUGGAGACUCGCCUUAAAGUAAUUGGCAGCCGGCCUACUGGUUUCGGAGCGCAGCACAAGUCGCACUCUCUAUCAGCAAAGGUCUAGCAUCCAUUAAGCCUUUUUUUCAACUUUUGACCUCGGAUCAGGUAGGGAUACCCGCUGAACUUAAGCAUAUCAAUAAGCGGAGGA
rnacentral:misc_RNA from 1 species